rnacentral:rRNA from 1 species
AUUCCUUGUCGGGUAAGUUCCGACCUGCACGAAUGGCGUAAUGAUGGCCAGGCUGUCUCCACCCGAGACUCAGUGAAAUUGAACUCGCUGUGAAGAUGCAGUGUACCCGCGGCAAGACGGAAAGACCCCGUGAACCUUUACUAUAGCUUGACACUGAACAUUGAGCCUUGAUGUGUAGGAUAGGUGGGAGGCUUUGAAGCGUGGACGCCAGUCUGCGUGGAGCCAACCUUGAAAUACCACCCUUUAAUGUUUGAUGUUCUAACGUUGGCCCCUGACCGGGGUUGCGGACAGUGUCUGGUGGGUAGUUUGACUGGG